rnacentral:rRNA from 1 species
AACGGAGUAUAAGCUUUUCCGUUUGAAGAAAGGAGGACCACCUUCUAACAAGGGAAUACCCCUCGUCCGUGAUAGUGAAGAGUACCGCGAGGGAAUCGAUGAAAAGUACCUUGAACAAUAAAGGGCUGAAAAAGAUCCUACAACCUGAACGGGACAGCAGCGGCCACCGCGUACCUUUUGCAUAAUGGGCUAACAACUUGUCCGGGGUAGCAAGCCCACCCGCGUAACUAACCUGUUGUAGUUACCCCGGCCACACCCGAAACCAAGUGAGCUAACCCCGGGCAGGCUGCACCUACGUCACCGUACGGGAAGGGCCGAACCUGUGUGUGUUGCAAAACACUAGGACGACCCGGGGUUAGGGGUGAAAGGUUUAUCAAACUUGGUUAUAGCUGGUUUUCCGCGAAAUCUAUUAAGGUAGAGCCAAACCCACGGCGUUAGUAAAGGUAAAGUACAGGGUUGGUUCCCGGGGGUGGGGAACUACUUACCGGGGCUAUCCUAUCUCGAAAUGUUACUAACCCGGGUUUGAGUCAGAGUUUCGGUGCAAAGGUCGUAACUCAAAAGAGAAAUAGCUCUCAACCACAGCUACGGACGUUAAGCACCCGUCAAGAGCGUAAGUAAGGGGAAACGACCGCGUUAAUUACCAGGAGGUGGGCUUGGAAGCAGCCAUCCUAUAAUGAAAGCGUAACAGCUCACUGGUGGAGUAGUCUUUCCCCGAUAAUAAACGGCUGAACGGGUCUCCCACGCUUGGUACACCUCCAGUGGUGUGGUAGCGGAACGUUUGUUGACCUCGCCGGGGGUAACCCAUCAACAAAGUGAGAAUGUUAGCAUGAGUAACGAAAAAAAGAUGAAAACUCUUUUGGUUGAACACUGUGAAAGAUUUUAGCAGCCCGGGCAAUCCCCUGCUAGUGAGCCGGCAUCUAAGACACCAACUACGGUGUAGUUGAAGAAACCCCGUGGUAACCCUCAGGGCUUAACAAACUUUGUGUGGUGGGGUACCCCCGGGGUGGACCCCGGGGGUACCCCCGCCGAGAAAAACUAGUUUGUUAUUAAACCGUAUCUAAAUCGACACAGAUAAGUUAGUGUAGAACACACAAACGUUAGAACAACCACCCUGAAGGAACUCGGCAAAUUAACCCCGUAACCUUGGGAUAAGGGGGGCCCACCUACCGGUGGGUGACACAAAAUAGGGAGUAGCGACUGUUUACUAAAAACACAGGACUCUGCAAAGCUGAAAAGCGAAGUAUAGGGUCUGACGCCUGCCCGGUGCUAGAAAGUUAACAGAUGGAGUUCGUUUACCCGGGCUCCUGACCGAAGCCCUAGUAAACGGCAGCUGUAACUCUGACGGUUCUAAGGUAGCGAAAUUCCUUGUCGGGUAAGUUCCGACCUGCAUGAAUGGCGUAACGACUUCUCCACUGUCUCCAGGGUGGCUCUAGUGAAUUUGAACUCUUCGUGCAGAUGCGAAGUAACAACAGCAAGACGGAAAGACCCCGUGCACCUUUUUCUACACCUUUGUGUU